AGGCGGAAAAGCCCUAUUUGUCCUCACUGUUUGAGGAGAAUAUCAAGCUGCUGGAGAAGUCAUUUCUCACUUUUGGAUAGGGAUCGUUGUCAGGUUUGGAAUUCAGCCACACAACCACUCAGAUCAAGAUCAAAAAAAGCAAAAGAAGAGAAAAGAAGAAUCGAAGAGAGGGGAAGAUCUUGCCGAGAAUAGACCGGUUGGAAGUUUUCUGUCCUUGCUCUUCUCUGUGUUGGAUAGGCAUAAUGAUCGGGGUUGGGAUUGGGUGGCUUACAUCAAGAUCAACAAAAGCGAAAGAAGAGAGCAGAGAGAAAAGAGGAAUAGAAGAGACGAAAGCAGAAGAUCUGUGAGCUUUGGAAAGAAGAGAGAAGAAAGAAAAGACCGGUUGCAAGGUUCAAUUACUUACGAGGACUAUGUUGCCUGUUUUGCUUGAUUCACGCUGCUCAUUUCAGAAGCGUAUGUCUUUGUGAUGGGGGACAACCGCAACAACAGUUGACUCUCAUAACUGCUAAUUUCAACUCUCAGUAUUAUUUUUGAUUAUCCCCACUGAACAUUUUUGCUUCUGGGUCAGAGGUAUUUCCUUUGUAUUUUACUACCAGUCUCUGUGCAUUGAAUUGAUCUGUUUACUAUGUUUUGUUUGGUAGUGUUGUAGUUUGUUCUAGAGUGAAAGGUGCUAAUUAGAGGUUUAGACUGAUCUGUAUGUACCCAGCUUGAAUUCAAUGUGGCAUCUUCUGCAACAUAAGUUACUUCAACUUUGAAAAGCUGUCGAAUUUACUGAGCCAUAUGUGAAAAUUGGUUUUCCAAGCUCUUAAAAGCGAUUAAACUUUGUUCUGUUGGAUUUGUUUGCUUAUAGGAUCAUCAUACAAUUACUGCUUUUGGCUGAAUAGUCUUUGAUUCGAUCUUCGGCAAAUAAAUGCCCAAAGUUGAAUAACUCUAACCACUAAUAUGAGUGAUUCAUAUCAAUGUGCUCAGUUACUUUACUAAUAAGUAAAAGCAUGAAACUUAUGUGAAUGAACUUUUCUACAAUUCUUUAAAUAAAUAUUACAAGCAGCUUCUCUGCCUCUCUUGAACCUUGAUAGGAUAGCAGAGGUCUAGGAAUAGUUCCAAAACUAUUUUGAAGUAUGAAAAUAUGAAUCCAGUAUUCCCCUUCAUCAUUGCUGAUUUCCCUCCUAAAUUUUUAAUUCUUAAUCAUAUAGUUCAAAGAUUUAAAAUGUUUAAAAAAUGAGAUUGGAAAGACACAUUCUGAGUUUUACAUAUCUUAUGCUUUGCUCAUGGAAUCCAAGAACAAGGUGAAAGCUGCCAAUGAAUUUCAAAUCUUGGGAUAUCAAGGUCUCCAUAUGUUCAUUUUAAACUUGAAUAUCGCAUUUCGUCUGUUUCUUACUCAUUGUAGACAUGCAUUAAGCGAUUAUUAUUUUGUUCAGAGUGUUCAGCCCAUAGAAAUAUUUAAUGAUGCAUUUAGGAAAUUUCUUGCACACUCAAUAAGAAGACCGCCAAAAGCUCCUGAGGUAUGCAACCCUUAUACUCUUUGUGCUGGAUUUAUUUUAGUAUUGGUUGUGUACAAGUCACUUGCAGUUUAAUCUUUUUGAACUGUCAGGAGGAUUCAGCAGAGGAACACUUACCCGCCCGAACCUUUGGAACUGUCCUUGCCAAGACAAGAAAAGGACAGGUUUGCAUCUGCGUUUGUUUCAACAUUAUUAUUCCCAGACACUGCUCACUAGGUUUGUCAAGUAAUUGAAUCUCUGUUUUUAUUGAAUUUGUGGUCUUUCUUCUGAAUUCAAAGUGAUUUUUUUUUUCUCUGUGGUAUUCAGUGACUUUCAGAGACAGAUUUUUCUUUUCUUUGUUUUUGUUUAUAUAUGAUUUUGUCAAAUUUCUGCUUAGUUUCUUACAAUUGUCUUUAUCUUUUUUGAUGCUGGAUCUACUUGCUAUACAAUAAUGACUAUUUCUUGCAUCUUUGAUUCCUGAGUUUGUUUCUCAAAUCUGAACACUUCUGAAUAGUAAAGUCUGUUAUGCAUCUUUGCUUUAUCAGUUUAUCAGUUUGCUUCUCAGAUAUAUAUAUAAAGGCACCAUAAAAAUAAUCAAGGGAAGGAAAUAUUAGACAUUAUAAUAUGUAGCUUUUUGUCAUUAAUCAAAAUGAAAUUAUUUCUAUUACUCAAAAACAAACUUAAUGAUUCAAAUGAUAUUAUACUUGAGUAUCAUUAAUCAUACAGUUCUGACAUCAAUUUUCAUCUUCUCUGAAUUUAUUCUUCAUUUCAGAUUUGUGUGCUUAAUUCGGAUUGAAGUUUAUUAUUCUUCUCAAAACUGAUUUUGAUGUCUAGAUAUUGUCCUGAGCUUUGAUUUCUGCUUUGAAAUCGAAUCAAUCUUAUGUUGCUUUGAUUUUGAUUUUAUACUUGCUAUGCAUUAAUGGUUAUUUCUUGCAACUUUGAUUCAUUCUGGAUCCAGUUUGUUUCUGGAAUUUCAACAGUAGUAUUAAACACAUGAGAGUUGACUGAGAGCUGACUUCCAGUGACAACAUCUCAAAUCAGAUUCCAAAGGAGCUGGUAACUACUCCAACUGAUGAAACUGACAUGAUACAAUCACGGGGGGGUCACACCGAAGGAGCUGAUGUAAAUUAGUUGAUUCUAAUUGCAAAUAUAGACAAUUUUUGCUUAGCCUGUGUUUGGCAAAUGCACCCGCAAAGGACAUAUAAUGUGUUUAAUGUCAGUAAAUGUAGUAUUAAUCAUAUUGAUAAUA